rnacentral:rRNA from 1 species
GAUGAACGCUGGCGGCGUGCCUAAUACAUGCAAGUCGAGCGAACAGACGAGGAGCUUGCUCCUCUGAUGUUAGCGGCGGACGGGUGAGUAACACGUGGAUAACCUACCUAUAAGACUGGGAUAACUUCGGGAAACCGGAGCUAAUACCGGAUAAGCUGUUGAACCGCAUGGUUCGACAGUGAAAGACGGUCUUUGGGUCACGUAUAGAUGGAUCCGCGCCGAAUUAGCUAGUUGGUAAGGUAACGGCUUACCAAGGCAACGAUGCGUAGCCGACCUGAGAGGCUGAUCGGCCACACUGGAACUUAGACACGGUCCAGGCUCCUACGGGAGGCAGCAGUAGGGAAUCUUACGCAAUGGGGGAAAGCCUUACGGAGCAACGCCGCGUGAGUGACGAAGGUCUUCCGAUCGUAAUACUCUGUUAUUAGGGAAGAACAAAUGUGUACGUAACUAUGCACGUCUUGACGGUACCUAAUCAGAAAGCAACGGCUAACUACGUG